AGAAAAAUAAACAAUUAGCACAUAUUUCCCUCCACCUUUGUGCGAUCUCCUCAAAUAUAUAUUAUAUAUAGAACAGAGUUAGAGUGAUACAAAUUAUUACAAGACAACAACAGAAAUUAAAUAACACACAAAACACAAAUUAAAUAAAUUUCGCUCGUCUAGCACUUCCCAACCAUGGCGACACUUAAAUAUCUUGAACCUCCAUGUUGAAUACCCUGUUAAACAAAAAGAGGUAGCAUACCAUAAAUAUAAUACAUGAACAACUAAUAGUAUCAACUUAAAUACACAUAGAAAAGGAUAGAAAGACUAACCCGGAUGAUUCCAUUUUAUUUAUUUCAAAUACACUACACUAAUCAUAAUAAAAUGAUGAAGGAAGAAUACUAAAUCAAUGAAGGAUAGCUAACCAAAUAUGUAGAAUACAUUUAUCAGCAAUGCGAACAAACUUAGUCCAAUAAACAAACCAAUCACAAUAAAAUAACAAAGAGAGAAUGCUCCAAGUUUUUUGGAAUUUCUUUACAUUGUUUUGUGGAGAGUAGAUAGUUUUUUUCCUAAUUGUUAGAAUGUGUCAGUGUCAUUGUUUAUUGCUAAAGCGUGAGAAGUAUAGAGUUAAGAGCAUGUUUAUAUACUAGAUGAGAGGGCACAACAAUGAGGAAUAAUUUUAGGGGGGCAAUUAAUUUGAUACUAUUUCCUUAACAAAUGGAGUAUAAAAUAAACCUCAUACUUUACCAAAUAUAAACAAGUAAUAAGAUCUGGGGGGGGGGGGGGGCAAUUAAUUUGAUACUAUUUACUUAACAAAUGGAGUAUAAAAUAAGUCUCAUACUUUACCAAAUAUAAACAAGUAGUCUGGUCUAAAUUCUAAUAGUGGCAUGAGAUCAAUCAUCCAAAGUCAAUAAAAUAUUAAACACAUGUAAAAUUAGAAAAGGGGAGCAAUUAUGCUAAAGGGAAGAAGUAAACAUAUAACCUCAAUCACGCAUUAAUAUUAUUGUAAAUGAACUAAGCAAAGAUCUGCCAAAAUUUAUUUAAGGUAAGAAUAAUCAAGAAAUUUUACUUUACACAGCUCACACACAUAUAAAUAAGAAAGAAGAUGAUACACAUUCCAAAGUUAUAUACAUUAGUAUCCAAUUUAACUUAGUUAUAGAGGGAAUAAUACACAAAUAAUGAGGGUCUCUAUUUAAAUAGAAUAAAUAAAAGUUAACAGGACAAGUAAGGCUUCCUAGUCACCAUAUUAAGCGUACACUACCAUUGGAGAAUUAGAGAUUAAAACUAACAAACCAUCUAAAUUGAGUAAUACAAUAAGAAUCAAUUAUCAUACUAAAUUUCGCUAACAUCAUUGAUACGGUUUUUAAGACCCUAAAUCUAACUAUUCAGAAUAAAACUUACCAGAUGAACUAAUUUUAAAACUUAUAGACGAUAGUAGUGAGUGAGAAUCAAUCAACGGAAUGGAACAAGUAUUCAUAUUAAAAAGUAAUAGCAGGAAGACAUGGAUAUUUCACAAUAACAUAUGGAACAUAUUAAUCUCAAAAUAAGCAAUUCAUUUGAACUAUUUUUAAUUGAGAGAGUUAAUGUAUGAGAAUAAGAGGAUCCAGCAAAUCAUUUGACAGCAAGAUGCUUAGACUUAAAUUACAAAAGUGAGUAAUUACUUAGCUAAAUUAUGAAACUGAGCAAUUUCGAAACAAAUGAGUAGACUAGUAACAAUUCAAUGAGAAUCAACAUACCACACAGAUCUUAAGAAAAAAUAGAGAGGAUUAUCGAAACUUCUAACCGAAAUUGUAGUGGGCAAGAAGGUUCCUUGUGGCUAAGUCUUAUAAUCCAUGUUGUUUGCCUCGUUUGGUAGGAGUUGUUGUUGCUAUUUUCCGUUACUGACCAAAGAAGAGGUAAGCGGGGUGGCGCUUGGCUUCUGUUGUUCGCAUGGCUUGCCUCGUCGGAGCUUUCCACUUUUGGUUUCUCUUGCAAAGUUGGUGGUCUCCACGGAUAUCAGUGGUUUUGUUGUUCGUUGGUGGCUGCUACUCUUAUGUUGUUGUUGUCGCUAGAAUAGAGGAGAGAGGAGAAGAGAGGGGCAACUAAAGGAGAAGAGGAAGACCAAUGAUCUUAGUCACUGGGACUGGUGGUUCUUGGUUGCUCGCUGGAAAAAGGAGAAAUGAGAGAAGGAAAGGAAACGGAAGAGAAGGCAACGGGUAGAGCGGAGGAGGAAUGAGAGUUUCGUGGAGAGGUGCGGCUGCUCCGACUGGUGGUCUCCUAAACCAGGUGGCCGCUUCAUCAGUUUCAUUGGCCAGAGAGUAUGCACAGGGAGAAGGGAAUGAGGAGAUACUGCGCAAAGGGGAAAGAGCAAAGAUAAUUUUUAGGGUUUUCUGUCCUUUUUAGGUCUUGAAUGGGAAAUAAAGGAUGGGCUUGAUCUAGUUUGUCCGAUCAAAGUAACCAAAUGUUGGGAUUUGAUCAAGGUUGAGAUCAAUUGGAAUUGGAAAUUUGAAAAUUGGAAUGAAUUGUCUAAAGUUGAAAUAAGAUUUGAAUUGAAUAGGUUAGAGUUGAAAAUGAUAGGAGUCUAUGAUUAAAAAAGAAUUGAAGAUGACUAAGGGCUAUAAUCUAAAUAAAUUGAAU
rnacentral:lncRNA from 1 species